CAGUGAGUGUGUGUGAGUAAGAGACAGGGAGGUAGAGAGAAAGAGAGCGAGACAGUGAGUGUGUGUGAGUAAGAGACAGGGAGGUAGAGAGAAAGGUUGCCAGGUAGAGAUCCAGCUGCAACAGGAAACCCUGGCAGCAUGCAGCCGUCCCGUCGUACUCCCGGGGAAGGGCGAGACGAAUCCGACUAGGACCUGGUGAAUGGGGAGCGAGUAGUGGAGACCCUGGCUGUCCAUGGCGACGCCGAGAUGGUGGAGCAUCGCCGCGUGCUCCCGGACGCACUCCUCGACCCCUAUCCUAGGGGCACCUGCUCCUGCUGACACCAUAUUGUGGGUCAGCCACCAGGGGGAGACGCGUCGAAGCCUGCUGACAGACGGGCAUACAACACGAGGCGAUGGCUCCAUCUGCUGGACGUGCCAGGUCUCGACGGGCUCUCCGCCCAGGACUAACUGGGGCUGAUUGGGGAGUUGAUGUGGCGUAUUGUAAUGGCCGUCGUCGGUGGAAGAAGGUGAGGACCAAGGUGCAGCGUGGU